rnacentral:rRNA from 1 species
AUUGAACGCUGGCGGCACGCUUAACACAUGCAAGUCGAACGGCAGCGGGGGGAGCUUGCUCCCUGCCGGCGAGUGGCGAACGGGUGAGUAACGCGUAGGGAUCUGCCUGUUAGAGGGGGAUAAGCCGUGGAAACGCGGUCUAAUACCGCAUACGCUCUAAGGAGGAAAGUAUGGGACCGAAAGGCCAUACGCUAACAGAUGAACCUGCGUUAGAUUAGCUAGUUGGUAGGGUAAAGGCCUACCAAGGCGACGAGCUAUAGCUGGUCUGAGAGGAUGACCAGCCACACUGGAACUGAGAUACGGACCAGACGCCUACGGGAGGCAGCAGUGGGGAAUAUUGGACAAUGGGGGCAACCCUGAUCCAGCGAUGCCGCGUGUGUGAAGAAGGCCUGAGGGUUGUAAAGCACUUUAGUUGGGGAGGAAAGCCUGAGGAUGAAUAAGCCUUAGGGGAGACGUUACCCAAAGAAUAAGCACCGGCUAACUCUGUGCCAGCCGCCGCAGUAA